AUAGUCUAAUGGUAAAAUUUCUCUUUGCCAAGGAGAAGACGCGGGUUCCAUUCCCGCUAUCCGCCACA
rnacentral:tRNA from 1 species